AGAAAUUGUUCCUAGAGAUGUAGACAUGAAAGGCAAAUUCAUUCAGCAUUUCACAGCAGGACCAGUCAAGUUCUCAUCGGAGUGCAGAACACACUUUCAUAGACUUUAUCACAACACAAGGGAUUGUUCCACACCAGCAUAUUACAAAAGAUGUGCAAGAUUGCUAACACGAUUAGCGAUGAGUCCACUCUGCAUGCAAUCCUAGAAAAUGCAUGUAAGUUUUUCUACUCUUGAGGUCCCAAAAAUGAAAGAGGGAUCAGAAGUGCCUUCAAAUCCGCAGCAGUCAGAUGAACAUCGUUCUGUUCAUAGUAUUUUUUAUUUUCUUGUCAUUCCUGAAAAUGCCAAUAGACAUUUUUGGUUUGUUUUGAAUGGUUUGUUUUUUAUUUCAAUGUACCUGUAUGUACCAUAUAUUUGUAUGAAAACAUUAAUUUAAUAUUAAAAACACCUAUUUAUUGAAAGGUUAUGUAUAUAAUGAUUUCACAAUCAUUCAAAAUCUGAUUAUUUGGUUAUUAAAGUUAUAUCUAACUGAGAGAAAGCUUUUUAUUAUUAUUUUUCCUCUUCUAUAAGGAUUCCUCCCCCACUAGGCUCUGAAUGAUUUGUCAUGCUCUGUCGUUGUCUUCAUUAGAUUCAUUUGGCACUUGAGUGAUUGCUGACAAUGAGAACAUAUGGAAUGACUACAGUGGUGAUGAUGCACUGCAGUAUUGAACAAUAAAGAAUAUUGAAGCACA